UACGUAGGGGGCAAGCGUUGUCCGGAUUUAUUGGGCGUAAAGCGCUCGCAGGUGGUUCGUCGCGUCGUGCGUGAAAGACCCCGGCUCAACUGGGGGAGGUCGUGCGAUACGGGCGGACUGGAGGCCGGUAGGGGGAUGCGGAAUUCCGGGUGUAGUGGUGGAAUGCGUAGAUAUCGGGAGGAACACCAGUGGCGAAGGCGGCUUUCUGGUCUGCUCUUGACGCUGAGGCGCGAAAGCUAGGGUAGCAAACGGG
rnacentral:rRNA from 1 species